UACGUAGGGGGCGAGCGUUGUCCGGAAUGAUUGGGCGUAAAGGGCGCGUAGGCGGCGCGGUAAGUCUGGAGUGAAAGUCCUGCUUUCAAGGUGGGAAUUGCUUUGGAUACUGCCGCGCUUGAGUGCAGGAGAGGUUAUCGGAAUUCCCGGGGUAGCGGUGAAAUGCGUAGAGAUCGGGAGGAACACCAGUGGCGAAGGCGGGUAACUGGACUGCAACUGACGCUGAGGCGCGAAAGUGUGGGGAGCAAACAGGAUUAGAUACCCUGGUAGUCCACACUGUAAACGAUGAAUGCUAGGUGUAAGAGGUAUCGACCCCUUUUGUGCCGGAGUCAACACAAUAAGCAUUCCGCCUGGGGAGUACGGCCGCAAGGUUGAAACUCAAAGGAAUUGACGGGG
rnacentral:rRNA from 1 species